rnacentral:rRNA from 1 species
UACGGGGGGGGCAAGCGUUGUUCGGAAUUACUGGGCGUAAAGGGCUCGUAGGCGGCCAACUAAGUCAAACGUGAAAUCCCUCGGCUUAACCGGGGAACUGCGUCUGAUACUGGAUGGCUUGAGUUUGGGAGAGGGAUGCGGAAUUCCAGGUGUAGCGGUGAAAUGCGUAGAUAUCGAGAGGAACACCUGCGGCGAAGGCGGGUUGCUGGGCUGAUACUGACGCUGAGGCGCGAAAGCUAGGGGAGCGAACGGG